AGAGUCGGACAACAUUGAAAUGAAGACAACUUUGAGAAAGUGUAUCUACUGUAAGUCUAGACACUUCUACCACCUUCUAAUAUCUAGUUUUUCUUUUGACUGAAAUUAAAAAUAGAAUUCCCUCCAUUUUUCUACGAUAAAUUGACCA
ensembl:ncRNA Y69E1A.14 ncRNA